GAUGAACGCUGGCGGCGUGCCUAAUACAUGCAAGUCGAGCGAACGGACGAGAAGCUUGCUUCUCUGAUGUUAGCGGCGGACGGGUAAGUAACACGUGGAUAACCUACCUAUAAGACUGGGAUAACUUCGGGAAACCGGAGCUAAUACCGGAUAAUAUUUUGAACCGCAUGGUUCAAAAGUGAAAGACGGUCUUGCUGUCACUUAUAGAUGGAUCCGCGCUGCAUUAGCUAGUUGGUAAGGUAACGGCUUACCAAGGCAACGAUGCAUAGCCGACCUGAGAGGGUGAUCGGCCACACUGGAACUGAGACACGGUCCAGACUCCUACGGGAGGCAGCAGUAGGGAAUCUUCCGCAAUGGGCGAAAGCCUGACGGAGCAACGCCGCGUGAGUGAUGAAGGUCUUCGGAUCGUAAAACUCUGUUAUUAGGGAAGAACAUAUGUGUAAGUAACUGUGCACAUCUUGACGGUACCUAAUCAGGAAGCCACGGCUAACUACGUG
rnacentral:rRNA from 1 species